UUCGCCCUUGGGCAAGUCUGGUGCCAGCAGCCGCGGUAAUUCCAGCUCCAAUAGCGUAUAUUAAAGUUGUUGUGGUUAAAAAGCUCGUAGUUGAACCUUGGGCCUGGCUGGCCGGUCCGCCUCACCGNGUGUACUGGUCCGGCCGGGCCUUUCCCUCUGUGGAACCCCAUGCCCUUCACUGGGNGUGGCGGGGAAACAGGACUUUUACUGUGAAAAAAUUAGAGUGCUCCAGGCAGGCCUAUGCUCGAAUACAUUAGCAUGGAAUAAUAGAAUAGGACGUGUGGUUCUAUUUUGUUGGUUUCUAGGACCGCCGUAAUGAUUAAUAGGGACAGUCGGGGGCAUCAGUAUUCAAUUGUCAGAGGUGAAAUUCUUGGAUUUAUUGAAGAGUAACUACUGCGAAAGCAUUUGCCAAGGAUGUUUUCAUUAAUCAGGAACGAAAGUUAGGGGAUCNAANACNAUCAGAUACCGUCGUAGUCUUAACCAUAAACUAUGNCGACUAGGGAUCGGAUGAUGUUAAUUUUAUAAUGACUCAUUCNGCNCCUUACGGGAAAC
rnacentral:rRNA from 1 species